GACGAACGCUGGCGGCGUGCCUAAUACAUGCAAGUAGAACGCUGAAGAGAGGAGCUUGCUCUUCUUGGAUGAGUUGCGAACGGGUGAGUAACGCGUAGGUAACCUGCCUUGUAGCGGGGGAUAACUAUUGGAAACGAUAGCUAAUACCGCAUAACAAUGGAUGACACAUGUCAUUUAUUUGAAAGGGGCAAUUGCUCCACUACAAGAUGGACCUGCGUUGUAUUAGCUAGUAGGUGAGGUAAUGGCUCACCUAGGCGACGAUACAUAGCCGACCUGAGAGGGUGAUCGGCCACACUGGGACUGAGACACGGCCCAGACUCCUACGGGAGGCAGCAGUAGGGAAUCUUCGGCAAUGGGGGCAACCCUGACCGAGCAACGCCGCGUGAGUGAAGAAGGUUUUCGGAUCGUAAAGCUCUGUUGUAAGUCAAGAACGGGUGUGAGAGUGGAAAGUUCACACUGUGACGGUAGCUUACCAGAAAGGGACGGCUAACUACGUGCCAGCAGCCGCGGUAAUACGUAGGUCCCGAGCGUUGUCCGGAUUUAUUGGGCGUAAAGCGAGCGCAGGCGGUUUGAUAAGUCUGAAGUUAAAGGCUGUGGCUCAACCAUAGUUCGCUUUGGAAACUGUCAAACUUGAGUGCAGAAGGGGAGAGUGGAAUUCCAUGUGUAGCGGUGAAAUGCGUAGAUAUAUGGAGGAACACCGGUGGCGAAAGCGGCUCUCUGGUCUGUAACUGACGCUGAGGCUCGAAAGCGUGGGGAGCGAACAGGAUUAGAUACCCUGGUAGUCCACGCCGUAAACGAUGAGUGCUAGGUGUUGGAUCCUUUCCGGGAUUCAGUGCCGCAGCUAACGCAUUAAGCACUCCGCCUGGGGAGUACGACCGUAAGGUUGAAACUCAAAGGAAUUGACGGGGGCCCGCACAAGCGGUGGAGCAUGUGGUUUAAUUCGAAGCAACGCGAAGAACCUUACCAGGUCUUGACAUCCCGAUGCUAUUUCUAGAGAUAGAAAGUUACUUCGGUACAUCGGUGACAGGUGGUGCAUGGUUGUCGUCAGCUCGUGUCGUGAGAUGUUGGGUUAAGUCCCGCAACGAGCGCAACCCCUAUUGUUAGUUGCCAUCAUUCAGUUGGGCACUCUAGCGAGACUGCCGGUAAUAAACCGGAGGAAGGUGGGGAUGACGUCAAAUCAUCAUGCCCCUUAUGACCUGGGCUACACACGUGCUACAAUGGUUGGUACAACGAGUUGCGAGUCGGUGACGGCGAGCUAAUCUCUUAAAGCCAAUCUCAGUUCGGAUUGUAGGCUGCAACUCGCCUACAUGAAGUCGGAAUCGCUAGUAAUCGCGGAUCAGCACGCCGCGGUGAAUACGUUCCCGGGCCU
rnacentral:rRNA from 1 species